rnacentral:rRNA from 1 species
AACAAACGCUGGCGGCGUGCCUAACACAUGCAAGUCGUACGAGAAAGGGUCCUUCGGGGCCUGAGUAAAGUGGCGCACGGGUGAGUAACGCGUGGAUAAUCUGCCCUUCAGUUGGGAAUAACUCAUCGAAAGGUGGGCUAAUACCGAAUAAUGCUGUGAGACCUCGGUUGAUCAGCCAAAGAGAGCCUCUGCUUGCAAGCCCUAGCUGAAGGAUGAGUCCGCGUACCAUUAGCUAGUUGGUAGGGUAAUGGCCUACCAAGGCGACGAUGGUUAGCUGGUCUGAGAGGAUGAUCAGCCACACUGGAACUGAGACACGGUCCAGACUCCUACGGGAGGCAGCAGUGAGGAAUCUUGCGCAAUGGGGGCAACCCUGACGCAGCAACGCCGCGUGAGUGAGGAAGGUCUUCGGAUCGUAAAGCUCUGUCGGAUGGAAAGAACCGCAUAGGGGUAAACAGCCCCUGUGUCCGACGGUACCAUCAAAGGAAGCACCGGCUAACUCCGUGCCAGCCGCCGCAGUAACAC